UGCUUAUUCAGAAAGACGGAGGGAGUAGACCCAACGAAGUCUUAGCAACCUGUGCUUACAAGGUGCUAAAUUCUAUCUCAAAAUAAUGGGAGAAGAUAAGUU
rnacentral:ncRNA from 2 species